rnacentral:rRNA from 1 species
UACGUAGGUGGCGAGCGUUGUCCGGAUUUACUGGGCGUAAAGAGCGCGCAGGCGGUCGUGCAAGUCGCGUGUGAAAGCCCCCGGCUCAACUGGGGAGGGUCACGCGAUACUGCUCGACUUGAAGGCAGGAGAGGGAAGUGUAAUUCCCGGUGUAGUGGUGAAAUGCGUAGAUAUCGGGAGGAACACCAGUGGCGAAGGCGACUUCCUGGCCUGUUCUUGACGCUGAGGCGCGAAAGCUAGGGUAGCAAACGGG